rnacentral:rRNA from 1 species
UGGGGAAUAUUGCACAAUGGGGGAAACCCUGAUGCAGCGACGCCGCGUGAGCGAAGAAGGCCUUCGGGUCGUAAAGCUCUUUUAUAUGGGAAGAUAAUGACGGUAUCAUAAGAAAAAGCCCCGGCUAACUACGUGCCAGCAGCCACGGUAAUACGUAGGGGGCUAGCGUUGUCCGGAAUCACUGGGCGUAAAGGGUUCGCAGGCGGCAAUGCAAGUCAGAUGUAAAAGGCAAAGGCUCAACCUUUGUAAGCGUCUGAAAGUGUAAAACUUGAGAAGUGAAGAGGAAAGUGGAAUUUUUAGUGUAGCGGAGGAAAGCGUAGAUAUUAAAAAGAAUACCGGGGGCGAAGGCGACUUGCUGGGAACAAAAUGACAAUGAAGAACGAAAGAGUGGGGAGCAAGCAGG